GAGUGUAGGGUGGGGACUGUAUCAUUCUCUUCUCUAUUGUCGUAAAUUAUUUGUGAUCAUCUGCUUAAUAUCUGAAUUCUUAGUGCUGGUAUCCACUGUCACCUUCCAGCUUGCCACUUGCUACCCAAAGUAUGGAUGGCAAGCAAUAGGUUUCAAGUCUUAACACUGAAUAUUCAGCAUUAAAUGGAGCGCUAACAUUUCAACUUGCAGCAGAGGCAACCAGGGAUGACAAUGCACUUGUAGGCAUGUGCUCAGAAUACAGAUGAGGUGACAGUCUGCAGGCACUCUGGAAAGCAAAUGAAGGAGCUGUAGCUUGGGCUGCAGAGUCAUUGCAGAAGAUUAUAAACAUCCUUGCUCAUGCCAGAACCUCCUGAGCAACAGAGCCACAGGAGACGUCUCCGAGGAAAAGGCUGUUUGGCUUCAGCUCUAAUAACCUGAACACUGUGAAGGGCAAUUAGCCGCAGGCUAUGGCUCAAAGCAUGCUUUUGAUCACCUUGCACAAGAAGGCCUUUCUACUGUGAUCCAGAGCAACCUCACAACACUGGGAUGUCCAUGCUCCCACCUUCCCCAGGAAGAAUCAAGUUUCUCACUCCUGCCGGAAACUAGAUAACACAUUGAAUAAUUUUUCUCCUUAUCAUUUGGCAUUUUUUAUGUGUGUGAUUUCUUGUAAAUGCAUUUUGUGCAUGUUCUUAGGUUAUGGAAAUCAGAAAUAGAAUAAGUAAUGAACUGCCCAAGAAAAAACAGAACUAAAUUCUAAUCCUGACUUAUUACCUGGCAUCUCUCUUGGACUAGUCACGUUUCUGGACCUCUUUCGUCAGUCAUUAAAUAAAAGCCAUCUAC
rnacentral:lncRNA from 1 species